UGGGGAAUUUUGGACAAUGGGCGAAAGCCUGAUCCAGCAAUGCCGCGUGUGUGAAGAAGGCCUUCGGGUUGUAAAGCACUUUUGUCCGGAAAGAAAUCCUCUGGGUUAAUACCUCGGGGGGAUGACGGUACCGGAAGAAUAAGCACCGGCUAACUACGUGCCAGCAGCCGCGGUAAUACGUAGGGUGCAAGCGUUAAUCGGAAUUACUGGGCGUAAAGCGUGCGCAGGCGGUUUUGUAAGACGGAUGUGAAGUCCCCGGGCUUAACCUGGGAACUGCAUUCGUGACUGCAAGGCUAGAGUAUGGCAGAGGGGGGUAGAAUUCCACGUGUAGCAGUGAAAUGCGUAGAGAUGUGGAGGAAUACCGAUGGCGAAGGCAGCCCCCUGGGCCAAUACUGACGCUCAUGCACGAAAGCGUGGGGAGCAAACAGGAUUAGAUACCCUGGUAGUCCACGCCCUAAACGAUGUCAACUAGUUGUUGGGGAUUCAUUUCCUUAGUAACGUAGCUAACGCGUGAAGUUGACCGCCUGGGGAGUACGGUCGCAAGAUUAAAACUUAAAGGAAUUGACGGGG
rnacentral:rRNA from 1 species